UACGUAGGGUGCGAGCGUUGCCCGGAUUUAUUGGGCGUAAAGGGCGCGUAGGCGGCCUGGCGCGUCGGCUGUGAAAUCUCCCGGCUCAACUGGGAGGGGACGGCCGAUACGGCUGGGCUUGAGCGAGGUAGGGGAGAGUGGAAUUCCCGGUGUAGUGGUGGAAUGCGUAGAUAUCGAGAGGAACACCUGCGGCGAAGGCGGGUUGCUGGGCUGAUACUGACGCUGAUGCGCGAAAGCCAGGGGAGCGAACGGG
rnacentral:rRNA from 1 species